rnacentral:rRNA from 1 species
GACGAACGCUGGCGGCGUGCUUAACACAUGCAAGUCGAACGGAAAGGCCCUGCUUUUGUGGGGUGCUCGAGUGGCGAACGGGUGAGUAACACGUGAGUAACCUGCCCUUGACUUUGGGAUAACUUCAGGAAACUGGGGCUAAUACCGGAUAGGAGCUCCUGCUGCAUGGUGGGGGUUGGAAAGUUUCGGCGGUUGGGGAUGGACUCGCGGCUUAUCAGCUUGUUGGUGGGGUAGUGGCUUACCAAGGCUUUGACGGGUAGCCGGCCUGAGAGGGUGACCGGCGACAUUGGGACUGAGAGACGGCCCAGACUCCUACGGGAGGCAGCAGUGGGGAAUAUUGCACAAUGGGCGGAAGCCUGAUGCAGCAACGCCGCGUGCGGGAUGACGUCCUUCGGGUUGUAAACCGCUUUCGCCUGUGACGAAGCGUGAGUGACGGUAAUGGGUAAAGAAGCACCGGCUAACUACGUG